rnacentral:rRNA from 1 species
AGCGAACGCUGGCGGCAGGCCUAACACAUGCAAGUCGAACGGAUCCUUCGGGAUUAGUGGCGGACGGGUGAGUAACACGUGGGAACGUGCCCUUUGGUUCGGAACAACUCAGGGGAACUUGAGCUAAUACCGGAUGUGCCCUUCGGGGGAAAGAUUUAUCGCCAUUGGAGCGGCCCGCGUCUGAUUAGCUAGUUGGUGGGGUAAAGGCCCACCAAGGCGACGAUCAGUAGCUGGUCUGAGAGGAUGAUCAGCCACAUUGGGACUGAGACACGGCCCAAACUCCUACGGGAGGCAGCAGUGGGGAAUCUUGCGCAAUGGGCGAAAGCCUGACGCAGCCAUGCCGCGUGAAUGAUGAAGGUCUUAGGAUUGUAAAAUUCUUUCACCGGGGACGAUAAUGAUGGUACCCGGAGAAGAAGCCCCGGCUAACUUCGUGCCAGCCGCCGCGGUAACAC